UGGGGAAUAUUGCACAAUGGGCGAAAGCCUGAGUGCAGCGACGCCGCGUGAGGGAUGACGGCCUUUCGGGUUGUAAACCUCUUUCAGCAGGGAAGAAGCGAAAGUGACGGUACCUGCAGAAGAAGCGCCGGCUAACUACGUG
rnacentral:rRNA from 1 species